rnacentral:rRNA from 1 species
GAGGGGGUGCAAACGUUAUUCGGAUUUACUGGGUGUAAAGGGUGUGUAGACGGUUUAUUAAGUUUGUUGUUAAAUCUUUCGGGCCUAACCGAAAGUUCGCGAUGAAAACUAAUAGACUUGAGGAUGGAAGAGAGAAGCGGAAUUCUCGGAGUAGCGGUAAAAUGCGUAGAUCUCGAGAGGAACACCGAUGGCGAAGGCAGCUUCUUGGUCCAUUUCUGACGUUGAGACACGAAAGCGUGGGGAGCAAACAGGAUUAGAUACCCUGGUAGUCCACGCUGUAAACGAUGAUCACUAGAUGUCAGCUUUGCUUAGCAGAGUUGGUAUCCGAGCUAACGCAUUAAGUGAUCCACCUGGGAACUACGGUCGCAAGAUUA